CUAGAUCUAAAACCGUUUGGUUGAAAAAAUCUAGAGCAGAGCUGUUUUUGAGGAUCUGGAGCUGUGUGGAGCUCUACCAAACAGGCCCUAGGUUAGAACUCUACAGUCUGAUCUAACAGUUGGAAGAUCCCCGCACGAAUCUCAAACACCAGAAGUCCAAUAAUGAACACCAGAAGUCCAAUAAAGAAAAGGCCUCCAGAUGUUAUAUAGGAAACCCAAGCGCUGG
rnacentral:lncRNA from 1 species